rnacentral:rRNA from 1 species
UAGCCGUAAACGAUACUCGCUAGGUGUCGGCCACGGUGCGACCGUUGUCGGUGCCGUAGGGAAGCCGUGAAGCGAGCCACCUGGGAAGUACGGCCGCAAGGCUGAAACUUAAAGGAAUUGGCGGGGGAGCACAACAACGGGUGGAGCUUGCGGUUUAAUUGGAUUCAACGCCAGAAAUCUUACCGGGACCGACAGCAACAUGAAGGCCAAGCUGAAGACUUUGCCGGAUUAGCUGAGAGGAGGUGCAUGGCGUAGUCGUGU